UGGGGAAGUUUCCGCAAUGGGCGAAAGCCUGACGGAGCAAUGCCGCGUGGAGGUGGAAGGCCUACGGGUCGUCAACUUCUUUUCUCGGAGAAGAAACAAUGACGGUAUCUGAGGAAUAAGCAUCGGCUAACUCUGUGCCAG
rnacentral:rRNA from 1 species